rnacentral:rRNA from 1 species
AUUGAACGCUGGCGGCAGGCCUAACACAUGCAAGUCGAACGAGUGGCGGACGGGUGAGUAAUGUCUGGGAACCUGCCUGAUGGAGGGGGAUAACUACUGGAAACGGUAGCUAAUACCGCAUACCAUCGGAUGUGCCCAGAGGGGAUUAGCUAGUGGGUGGGGUAACGGCUCACCAAGGCGACGAUCCCUAGCUGGUCUGAGAGGAUGACCGGCCACACUGGAACUGAGACACGGUCCAGACUCCUACGGGAGGCAGCAGUGGGGAAUAUUGCGCAAUGGGCGCAAGCCUGAUGCAGCCAUGCCGCGUGUGUGAAGAAGGCCUUCGGGUUGUAAAGUACUGUCAGCGGGGAGGCGUUACCCGCAGAAGAAGCACCGGCUAACUCCGUGCCAGCAGCCGCGGUAAUUC